AAACCGCUUAGGGGUUAAGCCCGAUGAACCUGAAUAUCUGAAUUGAGAAAUUCACCGGCACUCUAUUGGUUUUAAUUAAUCGAUUUGAAUGUUGUGCACUUUUCUCAUAGUAAGACAUUGCGAUCCAUUAGUUUUGUUGUUUAUCAAACGGCCCGUUUGUUUAGUUUAUUCCUGUCUGUGGCAAUUCAUUUGUCAUAUGGAUAAUAUCAAUGCGGUGACCUGGUAAACAGCUGAUGGAGCUUAAAAAUCAUGCAGUCCAUGCAUAUGUAUCACGGUUUAUGUAUAUUUUAUAUGUAAGUGCAGUGAUGGCAUGUAUUUGAUUAGCAAUGCGAUAGAUUUGGGAUACCUUCGGGACCCGUCUUGAAACACGGACCAAGAAGUCUAACAUGUGUGCGAGUCAUUGGGUAUGAUUGUUGAAACCUAAAGGCGUAAUUAAAAUAACUAUAUUUUAAAUGGGAUUACAAGCAGCUUUUACCAAAAAACUGUUUCUCCAUCCCGGGGCGUUCUAUACGAACAUGAUUCAAGCAAUUGGAUCCUCUGUUCAAGAGCGUACCUUGAGCAUACAUGCUGU
rnacentral:rRNA from 1 species